rnacentral:tmRNA from 1 species
CGCUUGCACUUUUCUGCAUUUCCGUGAUAAAAAGAUUAUGUUGGAAUUUUUCCAACUAUGGCGAUAAACGAUGUACGGAAUAGGCGUAGUGGACCCGGGGGCGGUACCCGGCGUCUCCACCAAAAGAGUUUGAUUUUAAAGACAAAUUCCUAUGGUUGGGGGGACGAAACAGGAUCGACACGCGUAGUAAAGGUAUUUCUUUCGCUCGGCAUUGUACCACCGUUAUCGGGCUGAUUUUACAAGUGCCAAUGAUGAUUCUGAGGUGCUCGCUGUCGCAGCUUAAGCGAUAAGCGCGGUUCGGAAGGCACCGGGCAACAGAAGCCUUCCACU